GCUAUCGGGCCCAUACCCCGAAAAUGUUGGUUUAAACCCUUCCCGUACUA
rnacentral:tRNA from 1 species